rnacentral:rRNA from 1 species
GCGGCGGACGGGUGAGUAACGCGUGGGUAACCUACCCCAAAGUCCGGGAUAACAGCGGGAAACCGCUGCUAAUACCGGAUGCCUUUACCUUGGGGCAUCUUGAGGUAAAGAAAGGCAACGCUUUGGGAUGGGCCCGCGUCCCAUUAGCUAGUUGGUGAGGUAACGGCUCACCAAGGCGACGAUGGGUAGCCGGCCUGAGAGGGUGGACGGCCACACUGGGACUGAGACACGGCCCAGACUCCUACGGGAGGCAGCAGUAGGGAAUAUUGCGCAAUGGACGGAAGUCUGACGCAGCGACGCCGCGUGAGCGAUGAAGGUCUUCGGAUCGUAAAGCUCUGUCCUUGGGGAAGAAGGUCUUCGGACUUGACGGUGCCCAAGAAGAAAGCCCCGGCUAACUACGUGCCAGCAGCCGCGGUAAUACGUAGGGGGCGAGCGUUGUCCGGAAUUACUGGGCGUAAAGGGUGCGUAGGCGGCCCUUUAAGUCGGAUGUGAAAGCCCGCG